rnacentral:lncRNA from 1 species
AUAUAUAUAUAGUAGAGAUAGAAUACUUUCAAAAGCACCAAAGAGGUGGUGCUUUUGAGUUUUUAGCCUUUGGAUGAAGAAAUGUAAGAUUAGUAUGAUGGUGGUAGGUGGUGGUAGGUGGAAUAGUGUUUGAUCCAAAAGCUAUUAAUUAUCAAGAAAUAGAUCCAAGAGCUAAAAAUUUAGAAGCACCAAGGAGGUGGUGCUUCUAAAAAUAUUCUAGCUCAAUUAGACUUGAUCUAAACUAUUGAAAGUAUUUGAAAACUAAAUUUUAUAAUUAUUCGAUAUCAUUUGGCUAGUGAUCAAAAGGUUUCAAAAUUGAUAAUUUUAAUAGUCGAUGUGAUGCGUUUGUGAAUUUAACGGUGUAAAACAAUUCAAAUCUGAUGAAAUUUUUAUAAAUUUUUUUUUUCACUAUUUAGAGUAAGAUUAGUAUCACUAAUCUUAAAUUUAAGUCUUUUAUCAUCAUUUUUUAUGAAAUUUUUAUUUUCAGCCGUUCAUUUUUAGACUAUUUGUUUGAUAGGUAAAUGAGGUCAAAAAAUUUUGAAAUUUAGUUUUCAAAUACUUUCAAUAGUGUAGAUCAAGUCUAACGGAACCGAUCAUCGAUUUGAAAGUUGCGUAAUUGAAAACAACUUAGUAGUACGGAGACCUCCGUGCUACCGAUAGUAUACCAGCCUAGCUCAUAUAAUAAUAAUAAUAAUAAUAAUAAUAAUAAUAAUAAUAAUAUAUUGUUAAUUGAGUGCGUAUGAUGAUUCAAAGAUUCCCGUAGUGAUUUAUAACAGGUAACAAUUGAGUGGGCAUCAUAACACAUUCAAAUAUGCCCUAGUGAUUAUCAUAUUUGUACUUUGAACACAAGUUAUAUGACGAGAGUCAAUGGUGGACCAUUCUCCUUACUAUUUCUAACAACUUUUAAGGCUCGAUCUGGAUGGUAAAUUUGUUACAUUAUCGGCAUUGAAAAAAAAGAAUAAAAAAUAAAUAUAUAUAUAUAUAUAUAUAUAGAGAGAGAGAGAGAGAGAGAGAGAGAAAGAGAGAGAGAGAGAGAGAGUGUGGCUACUAUGCUUCUAAAAGUACGGAGCCUUCCGUGCUUCUAGAUCGUUUUUGAUGUUGCGACUUUUGAAUCAUCGAUCGACUCCGUUAAAAUUGAUCUAGAGUAUUUGAAAUACGUAGAAAAUAAAUUUUGCAAUUUUUCGAUAUCAUUUGCCUAGUGAACUAAGGGGCUAAAAAUCAACAGCUAAAAAUAAAAAUCUUACAAAAUAUGAUAAUACGACAUUAAAAUUUUAGAUCAAAGAUAUUGAUUUUGUUUUAUAUAGUAUAAAGAAUUUUCUAUCAAAAUUUUACGUGAUUUGGAUAUUUCUACACCGUUAAACUUGCAAACGGCUCACCACAACCAUUAAAAUUAUUAAUUUUGAGUACCUUCGAUCAAUAGGCAAAUGAUAUCGAAAAAUCAUAAAAUUUAUUUUUUAAAUACUUCAAAUCUUUUAAAUCAAGUUUAACGGAGCUGAUCGACGAUUCGAAAGUCACAACAUCGAAAACGACCUGAAAGCACGGAAGGCUCCGUACUUCCAGAAGCAUAGUAGCCUCACUCUAUGAGUAGGGCUACUAUGUUUCUGGAAGCACGGAGCCUUCCGUGCUUCCAUGUCGUUUUCCAUGUUGCGACUUGGGAAUCGUCGAUCGGCUCCGUUAAACUUGAUCUAGAGUAUUUGAAGUUCCUAGAAAAUAAAUUUUAUGAUUUUUCGAUAUCAUUUGCCUAUUAAUCGAAGGGGCUCAAAAUCAAUAAUUUUAAUGGCCGUAGUGAGCCGUUUGCAAGUUUAACGGUGUAGAAAUAUCCAAAUCAUGUGAAAUUUUGAUAUAAAAUUCUUUAUAGUAUAUAAAACAAGAUCAAUAUCUUUGAUCUAAAAUUUUAAUGUCAUAUUAUCACGUUUCGUAAAAUUUUUAUUUUCAGCCGUUGAUUUUGAGCCCCUUUGUUCACUGGGCAAAUAAUAUCGAAAAAUCGCAUAAUUUAUUUUCUAGUUACUUCAAAUACUCUAGAUCAAGUUUAACGGAGCCGAUCGACGAUUCGAAAGUCGCAAUAUGAAAAACGACUUGAAAGUACGGAAAACUUCGUACUUUCAUAAGCAUAGUAGUCUCACUCUAUAUAUAUAUAUAUAUACGUUUUGUUUAUUUUAUUUAAAAAUAAAUUUAACUGAAAAUAUAAAUCAAUUAGAAUUUAAACUUGAGUCUCCAAUAUUAAUCAUUAAAUUUUUUGACACUUGUACUGGGACC